CCUACGGGAGGCAGCAGUGAGGAAUAUUGGUCAAUGGGCGGGAGCCUGAACCAGCCAAGUCGCGUGAGGGAAGACGGUCCUAUGGAUUGUAAACCUCUUUAGGCGGGGAGCAAUGCCGGGCACGCGUGCCCGGAGGGAGAGUACCCGCAGAAUAAGCAUCGGCUAACUCCGGGCCAGCAGCCGCGGUAAUACGGAGGAUGCGAGCGUUAUCCGGAUUUAUUGGGUUUAAAGGGUGCGUAGGCGGAUGUUUAAGUCAGCGGUAAAAUGUCCGGGCUCAACUCGGGCCGGCCGUUGAAACUGGGGAGCUUGAGUGGGCGAGAAGUAUGCGGAAUGCGUGGUGUAGCGGUGAAAUGCAUAGAUAUCACGCAGAACUCCGAUUGCGAAGGCAGCAUACCGGCGCCCGACUGACGCUGAGGCACGAAAGCGUGGGGAUCGAACAGGAUUAGAUACCCUUGUAGUC
rnacentral:rRNA from 1 species